GCAAGUCGAACGAUCUCUUCGAAUACAGUGGCAGACGGGUGAGUAACGCGUGGGAACCUACCUUAUUCUACGGAAUAACAGUUAGAAAUGACUGCUAAUACCGUAUACGCCCUUCGGGGGAAAGAUUUAUCGGAGUAGGAUGGGCCCGCGUUGGAUUAGCUAGUUGGUGGGGUAAUGGCCUACCAAGGCGACGAUCUAUAGCUGGUCUGAGAGGAUGAUC
rnacentral:rRNA from 1 species